AUACGGAGGAUCCAAGCGUUAUCCGGAUUUAUUGGGUUUAAAGGGUGCGCAGGCGGCCUUAUAAGUCAGUGGUGAAAUCUCCCGGCUCAACCGGGAAACUGCCAUUGAUACUGUAAGGCUAGAAUACAGACGAGGUAGGCGGAAUGUAGCAUGUAGCGGUGAAAUGCUUAGAUAUGCUACAGAACACCAAUCGCGAAGGCAGCUUACCAGACUGUAAUUGACGCUAAGGCACGAAAGCGUGGGGAGCGAACAGGAUUAGAUACCCCGGUAGUCC
rnacentral:rRNA from 1 species